CUCGUAGGUGGCCAACUAAGUCGGACGUGAAAUCCCUCGGCUUAACCGGGGAACUGCGUCCGAUACUGGAUGGCUUGAGGCUGGGAGAGGGAUGCGGAAUUCCAGGUGUAGCGGUGAAAUGCGUAGAUAUCUGGAGGAACACCGGUGGCGAAGGCGGCAUCCUGGACCAGCUCUGACACUGAGGAGCGAAAGCCAGGGAGCAAACG
rnacentral:rRNA from 1 species